GGGUGUGGUGGUGAUCUGGCUAGGACAUCUGUCACCCCAUCGAUCCAUUCAGCUGAUCAGGCUGGCUAGGCAGAUGUCCCCUUCCUCCCUCUCCACUCCAUAUACAUUCUUCCCGAAGCUGUUCACAUGGUCAAGGAGGACCCUCCCUGAAUAGAGGAGGACCAAUCAGUGGGGGGGGGGGGAGUUAUGUAUACAAGUAGCUGUGCUCCCCAGCUAGAACCUCCAAAGAGGCUCUCAAUAACUAAUAACAUGUACACAAAUCAUUCCCUCUAACCACCUAGAUCCUGAAACUCUGUGGGAGCAGGAGGGGAUUAUUCA
rnacentral:snRNA from 1 species